AUUGAACGCUGGCGGAAUGCUUUACACAUGCAAGUCGAACGGCAGCACGGGGCAACCUGGUGGCGAGUGGCGAACGGGUGAGUAAUACAUCGGAACGUGCCCAAUCGUGGGGGAUAACGUAGCGAAAGCUACGCUAAUACCGCAUACGAUCUACGGAUGAAAGCGGGGGAUCGCAAGACCUCGCGCGAAUGGAGCGGCCGAUGGCAGAUUAGGUAGUUGGUGGGGUAAAGGCCUACCAAGGCGACGAUCCGUAGCUGGUCUGAGAGGACGACCAGCCACACUGGAACUGAGACACGGUCCAGACUCCUACGGGAGGCAGCAGUGGGGAAUUUUGGACAAUGGGGGCAACCCUGAUCCAGCCAUUCCGCGUGAGUGAAGAAGGCC
rnacentral:rRNA from 1 species